UCUCUCUUCCUCUUCCGCCGCUUCUGUCUCCUGCCUCUAGGACAGACCCGACUUCUUGGGAGGGGCAUCAUGACAAUACUGCAUAGAAGGGGCUGCGCCUCUCAGAGCGAGUGUCCGAGGCACCGGCAGGACAGCAGAUUUCAGGUGCAGGAGAGAGAAAACGGCUUGUGACCUUACAGGUUUCAAUGGAAGAGCAAACACCAAGAACAGAUAAGCAGACGCCAGCGAGAUUCUAUGACCUGUCAUUAGGGAUGGGCUUCCCAGCUAUCAAAUGUUUGCUCACAUAAUAAAAUGGUGGCAGAGCCCUAAA